UAGGUACUCCCUCCGUUCGGAAUUACUUGUCGCAGAAAUGGAUGUAUCUAGACGUAUUUUAGUUCUAGAUACAUCCAUUUCUGAGACAAGUAAUUCCGAACGGAGGGAGUAAAUG
rnacentral:pre_miRNA from 1 species